rnacentral:rRNA from 1 species
AUUGAACGCUGGCGGCAUGCUUUACACAUGCAAGUCGAACGGUAACAGGGUGCUUGCACCGCUGACGAGUGGCGAACGGGUGAGUAAUGCGUCGGAACGUGCCGAGUAGUGGGGGAUAACGCAGCGAAAGUUGUGCUAAUACCGCAUACGUACUGAGGUAGAAAGUGGGGGACCUUCGGGCCUCACGCUAUUCGAGCGGCCGACGUCUGAUUAGCUAGUGGGUGAGGUAAAGGCUCACCUAGGCGACGAUCAGUAGCGGGUCUGAGAGGAUGAUCCGCCACACUGGGACUGAGACACGGCCCAGAAUCCUACGGGAGGCAGGAGUGGGGAAUUUUGGACAAUGGGCGAAAGCCUGAUCCAGCCAUGCCGCGGGUCUGAAGAAGGCCUUCGGGUUGUAAAGGACUUUUGUCAGGGAGGAAAUCCCUAGUGCUAAUAACACUGGGGGAUGACAGUACCUGAAGAAUAAGCACCGGCUAACUACGUGCCAGCCGCCGCCGUAA